AUUGAACGCUGGCGGCAUGCUUUACACAUGCAAGUCGAACGGUAACAGGCCUUCGGGUGCUGACGAGUGGCGAACGGGUGAGUAAUGCAUCGGAACGUGCCCAGAGGUGGGGGAUAACGCAGCGAAAGCUGUGCUAAUACCGCAUGUGAUCUGAGGAUGAAAGCGGGGGACCAGGCAGCAAUGUUUGGCCUCGCGCCUUUGGAGCGGCCGAUGUCAGAUUAGGUAGUUGGUGGGGUAAAGGCCUACCAAGCCGACGAUCUGUAGCUGGUCUGAGAGGACGACCCGCCCCACUGGGACUGAGACACGGCCCAGACUCCUACGGGAGGCAGCAGUGGGGAAUUUUGGACAAUGGGCGCAAGCCUGAUCCAGCAAUGCCGCGUGCGGGAAGAAGGCCUUCGGGUUGUAAACCGCUUUUGUACGGAACGAAAAGGCUCUGGCUAAUACCUGGGGCUGAUGACGGUACCGUAAGAAUAAGCACCGGCUAACUACGUG
rnacentral:rRNA from 1 species